rnacentral:rRNA from 1 species
AAAAAAAUAAUUAAAAAUUAAUAAAAUUUAAAAUAAAUUUCUAAAAUUUUAUAAACGAAGAAAAUCAAAAUUAAUACUUUUGAAUAUUUAUAUUUUAUAUUUAAUAAAUAAAAAAUAUAAAGUUAUUGAAUUAUUUUAUUAUAUUUUAAAAUAUAAUUUUAUAGAUUACUUAAAGAACUAAAUCAUUUUAGUAUUUAAAGGAAUAAAAAAUAACAAUAAUUUUCUUAGUAGUGGCGAACGAAUAGAAAUUAAAAUAAUAUUAUUUUAUAAUAAUAUAUAAAUUUAAAUUUUUAUAGUUUUAUAAUAUGUAAAAUAAAUUAAUUAUUUAUUUGAUUUAAAUAUUAUUUAGAACUAUCUAAAAAAAUUUUAAUAUUAUAAAAUUUUAUAGUGAACUAAGUACCGUGAGGGAAAGAUGAAAAGAUUUUGGAUAAAAAAGUGAAAAGAACAUGAAAUUUUAAAUUUUAUAAAGUUUAUUUAAUUUAAAUUUAAUAUAUUUUAAUUAAAUGCUUGUUGAAGAAUGAGUCGGCGAGUUAUAAUUAUUUAUAUAUCAAAAUAUUAAAUAUGACCUCAUAUAAUAAGAGUUAAAUCGAGUUUUAAAAAAACAAUAUUAAUAUAAAUAAUUAUAGACCCGAACCCAAAUGAUCUAAUUAUGUUUAGAAAGUGAUAUAUAAUAUUGUAUAUAUACUGUUCGAACUAAUUGAUGUUUCAAAAUCAUUAGAUAAAAUGUAAUUAGCGGUGAAAUGCUAAUCGAAUUUGGAGCUAGCUGGUUUUCUCUGAAAUGUAUUUAAGUACAGAUAAAUAUAAAUUAUAAAAGAUAAAGCUCUACAUAAUGUAAUUAUUAAUAAUUUAAUUAAUAAUUAUAUUUAGUAAACUAUAAAUUAUUAUUAUAUUAUUAUUAUAUUUUAUAUAUAAUAAAUAAUAUUUAUAUUAUAUACUAUUGAGACUAUUAGGGUUAAGCUUAAUAAGUCAAAAGGGAAACAGCCCUUAAUAUUAAAUAAGGUAUUUAAAUAUAUUACUUAGUUAAAGAAGUUUAAUUAUAAUUAUGGCUAAAAUAUAAGCUUUUAAGCGGCUAUUAUUUAAAGAGUGGUAUUGAGCACAUUAGAACAGUAAUUAAAUAUCAUAAAUAAUUAAUAAUAAGUAUAUUACCGAAUUUAUAAAUUUAAAUAAAUAUUUAAUAUUAAUUUAUUUAAAUAGUAAGAGAACGUUUUAUUUAUAUUAUAAUUUAUAUGUAAAUAUAAAUAAAUAUAAUAUAUAAAUAAAAGUGAUAAUGCCGAUUUAAGUAAUAAAAUAUUAGAUAUUAAUCUAAUACUCCUAUUAUUUAUAGAUUUCCUAUUAAAUGAAUAAAUCAAAUAGGGUUAGUCGAAGUCUAAAAAUAAAUAUUAUAUAUAUUUGAUGAUAAAUAAAGUUAAUAUUCUUUAUACUAUAUUAAAUUAAUUUAUAUUAAAUUUUAAUUUAUUUAUACUAUUUUAUAAAUAAUAUUAACUAGAAAUAUUUAAAUUAAAAUAUUUAAUAUAUUCGUAUUAAAUCUAACACAAGUAAAUAAGUAGAAAAUAUACUAAGGAGAUGAAUAAAUUUUCUUUAAGGAACUAGGCAAAAUUAUUCUGUAACUUAGGGAUAAAGAAUGCUUUUAAAGUAUAAUAUACUAGGCUCAAACGACUGUUUAUCAAAAACACAGGUUCUUGCUAAAUUUAAUCAUGAUGUAUAAGAACUGACUCCUGCCCAGUUCUAGUAAGUUAAUAAAAAUAUUACUACAGUAUAUUUUUUUAAGCUCUAGUUAAACGGCGGCUGUAUUUAUAACGGUCCAAAGGUAGCGAAAUUCCUUGUCGGGUAAGUUCCGACCUGCAUGAAAGGAGCAACGAUUUGAGCGCUGUCUUAAAGAAAAUUUCAAUGAAAUAAUAAUGUCUGUGAAGAUACGGACUAUUUACACCAGGACAGAAAGACCCUAUGAAGCUUUACUAUAAUUUAUAAAUAUAAUUUUUAUAUUAGUUAUGUAGAAUAUAUGGUUAAAAUAAAAUUAUAUAUAAUUUUAUUUUUAUAAAUGAAAUACCAUUUGACGAAUAUAAAAUUAUUAAUAAUAUAAAUAUAAAUAUUUAAUUAUAUAUUUAUAAAUAUGAUAGUUUUACUGGGGCGGUGUCCUCCUAAAUAGUAACGGAGGAGAACUAAGAAUAUUUUAAAUAUAUCUAUAAAGAUAUUUAUAUAAAUUUUAAAGGAAAAUAAUAUUUUAACUGUUAAAUAUACUUAUUAUACAGAAAUUAAUGUUGGUCUUAGUGAUCCGAUAAAUAAAAUUAAUAGAUGUAUUAUCGAUAAACGAAUAAAAGUUACUCUAGGGAUAACAGGCUUAUCUCUCCUGAGAGAUUUGAUAUUGACGGGGAGGUUUGGCACCUCGAUGUCGGCUUAUCGCAUCCUGAAGCUGAAUAAGGUUUCAAGGGUUGGUUUGUUCACCCAAUAAAGCGGUACGUGAGCUGGGUUCAGAACGUCGCAAGACAGUUUGGUCCAUAUCCGGUGUAAAUUAAUAAAACAUUGUGAUAAUUUUUUUUAGUACGAGAGGAAUAAAAAAACUAUAUUAAUUGUGUACUAGUUAUUUAAUUAAUUUAAGUAAUUAUUAGGUAGCAACAUAUAGGUAAAAUAUAAUUGCUGAAAAAAUAUAAGCAAGAAUAUGCAUUUAAAUAUGUUUUAAAUAAAUAAAAAAUUAUUAAUAAACAUAUAAUUAUAUUAUAUUAAUAGUGUACAUAUAGUAAUAUAUUUA